UAGUAUCAAGCAUUAAGUAUUUCAACGGUGAUAUUAGUUACACGGUUCUGCAACUACGUGACGAACAGCGGUAAGGACUUUUAUUUUGAAAAAAGUCGUAAACGCUGUCGUAAAUAAAGUGAUUUAAAGCGAUUUUAAACGCACACAGUCAACACGUGUCAUCAGUAAUCAUUUUUAACAGAUAGUAAGGGCAAAUAUACGGCUUAUGUUUUAUUGUGAAUAUGAGAUCGGGCCGAGCUAUAAAGACGCAGCUCUCUCACAAUACUCUAGAUGAUAUUAACGAGCUUUGAACGCAGUGAUGCUGUAAAACACACGUAAAAUCUCUCAUUCGGCUCCGCAACGCGACAAGUUUGAUUUCAGCGCCGCUCCUGACAGCCUGUCUAGGAUCCGACCGCUCUCAGGAGGAAAAUCUCCCCCCCGUGCAUCACCUUUAAUGAGGAUAAAAGGACUUCUGAGGGAGAUAAUGCCCUUAUUUUCCCGGCGUGAAGUCGCCCUGCACGCAUUUACUGACAACACUCAUUCAUCUUCUCGCAGGAAAAAACCCGGGAGCGUUUCUAAGCAGAUCCGGUGAUCUGAGAGAGUUUGUGUCCAUCAGGAGAAUCCAGGCGUGACCGCAGGAGAGGAGAAGGUCAGGCC